rnacentral:tRNA from 1 species
AUUGGGGUGGUUCAGUAAUAGGACUCUUGCCUUUCAUGUGGGAGACCUAGGUUCGAUUCCUGGCCAAUG